GCUAGUAAUCGCGGAUCAGCACGCCGCGGUGAAUACGUUCCCGGGCCUUGUACACACCGCCCGUCACACCAUGGGAGUUGGCUUUACCCGAAGACGGUGCGCUAACCAGCAAUGGAGGCAGCCGGCCACGGUAAGGUCAGCGACUGGGGUG
rnacentral:rRNA from 1 species